GUCAUUAUGCGUGCUCUCUCUCUCUCUCUCUCUCUCUCUCUCUCUCUCUCUCUCUCAUAUGAGCAUGAGAGCUGUGGCUUGCUAGGGUUUCACAGAGAAGAAUUGAAUUGGCUUUUGUGGGGAAUGUUGGCUGGCUCGAGGCUUUCAUACAUGCUAACCUAAGGGAAAGGGGAAAACAAAGAGUAUGUAAGGCUUCGGACCAGGCUUCAUUCCCCUCAAAAACUCAUGGUGAACCAGGUGGUGAUGAUGGUGGUGGCUCUGCUUUAUCUCUGGAUUUAUGGGUGCAACCUCCCAACAUUUGGACUGCAAAAUUAUGCAUUAGUUUCUAUACAUCUUGGUAGAGUUAAAUAAAUUAUGAAAACCGAUGGGCCCUAAAGUAGCUCAUAAUCCUCACGUAUUUAAAUCUUUUUAUUAGUAAGGAUUAAGCACAUCGGUGCAUGAAGAACAUGAGAUAACAUUUGAGAUCUCUUUAGAUUUGGGGGGUAAUAACCUUCCAAAUAGAUACCUCUUUCAGUAAGACACAUGCAGGCCACUGCCAGGAACCUUCCCCUUGGCUUUUCUAAUUUGUCUAUUGGAGUAUACAUGUGAAUUUGCACAUAUGAAAACACCAUAGUUAUGCUCCUGAAAAAUGAUCACUUUUGGUUUGUCCCACGUUGUUUGUAGCUAAGAGUUGAUUAGUUAAGGAAUGAUACAAACAUAAGAUAAUCCAGUUUCCUACGCUCAGGAUCAAUAAUGUUAAUGUAACUUCCAGACCGACACCAUACCAGCUACUCUACAGAACCUAUUGAGAAGUAAAAGGGUAAAAAAUAUCCCAGCCAUCUUACCCUUAUAUAAGCCUUGUAUGGCCCAUAAAUUCUGCUAUUUCUAUUUUGGGAAAAAAGUCAAGCUAAGUUAAUUUGGUUUUAAAUUCCGAAGAUUUUGAAAUAGGAUUAGGUGAUCAAUCCUCCAGCUUGUAGCCCCCCUUUUCUCCCCUAAUUAAGACAGAACCAGGCGCUGAACUCCCCUGGCCAUUUUGAGCUUGCUUCGAGCUUUUCUAAAAUCAAUUAGAUAUGUUUAACCUAAGUGAAAAAGGGAAAACACUCUCAGUCUCUCUCUCUCUCUCUCAAAAUCAGCAGGAUGAGUGAAGAUCUGUGAGCAACCUCCUGAUGACAUACAUGACAUUCUCUUGAAAGGGUAAUGGCAAUUCUCGAUAAUUUUUCUUGGUUUCGUAAUUUCAUUCGAUUAAUCUUUUGCUAUUUAUUGACCAUUUCUUGCUUUGUAUAUGAUUAAGGCCAUCGCAGCUGGGGUUAAGCAUUAAUUCAAAAGUAACUUCUGAGAGUGUUGAAUGAGGAGAUUCCGUAGAUGGGCAUCAACAGCUAACGAGAAAAGAAAGACACGAAAGGAGUUUUCCCUCUUGCGCUAGGGCUAAGAUAAAUUAUCCUCAUUCAUGCAUGCACAUGCAUGACUCAUCAAAACAGAGUCCCACAUCACAUUUACACACACGGAGACACUUGCACGAUAUGAGUUUAGCAAUGUCAUUAUGGAACUUUUCAAAGCCUUUGCAAAACCAGUAACUGUUCUUGGAAAAGCUCCAUCAUUUAUGCUGUUGAUGGGCACCUCUCUCUCUCUCUCUCUCUCUCUCUCUCUCUCUCUCUAGUCACACUGUGUGUACUGUGAUUGAGUACAGAGAUUGGCCUUUGAAAAGCCAACAUCAACAGUUGAGAGAGAGAGAGAGAGUGAGGAGUGAAUUAAAUGACGACUAUCUGACAUUUUCUUGGGAAACGAAACGGUUUCUAUUGACAACUUCAUGUCUUGAAGAUGGAAACCACCAACUUUUUUUGUGUUGACAGCCUUCAACUGUUUUUUUUUACGGUAGAGAAGCCUUCAUUUGUGUUGUUAUUUCUGAUCUUCUUGUACUAUAGAGACACACAGAUUCAAGACUUAUCGAUAACUACAAGCUAAUCAUGUUUUCUUUACAAAUGAAACACAUUUUCUUGGUCUAGUGAGAAAAGUAGAGAGAGAGAGAGAGAGAGAGAGAGAGCGAGUUAAAAGGGUAACUUGAGAUGCACGUAGAUGUGGUCUUUCUGUCUUGUUUGCUACAAACACAGGACACAGAAGAUGGGGCCCAUUUUUCUAAAAAACAAAAACAAAAAAAUUUCAUCGAUCAGAGAUCAAAUCCAAUACCUAUUUUACUCUAUUGAUAUACUGUUUAUCUGUUUUUUUUUUUGGUCGAAACUGUUUAUCUGUUUGAAGUCGCUUGCUUUUGUCUAACGUUCAACGUACUGUGCUCCAAUUCUCUUCAUGGUCCCGUCGCCAUCACUGAUUUAUAACCCAUCCAAUAUAAUAUAGCAAUAGAAAGAAGCAAUAAAAUAAAUAUACAUAGAGCAUCUGCGCUGCAUUUUAACUGUUUACCAACACUUAUAUAGUAUUACGAAGUCUUUUAUAGUUAAAUAUGUGAUCGGGUACAGUUCAGGGGUCAACUGAUGAUCUGGUCAUAGUGGACCGUACUGUUUCGCUCUUUCCUCUCUAGUCUCAUCUGCACCACGAGCCAUAGCCUAAAACCUGGAGGUCUUGUACUUGCACAGAUUGUCGUGUUAUGUAGGGGUAGAAAAUAUAUAUAGAAUGAUAGUACUAGGCAUACCAGAAUAUAUAUUUUUUAUAUCAUAGAGUAGGAUGUGAGAAAAACCCUACCUUCAUUUCCUCUUUUGGGUUUAACUUGCUAAGCUGAUUCAUUUUUUCAAAUUCACAUCACAUGAAGUUAGUUGUCCACUCA